rnacentral:rRNA from 1 species
GAUGAACGCUGCCAGAAUGCUUAACACAUGCAAGUCAACUGUGGCGGACGGGUGAGUAACGCGUAAAGAACUUGCCUCACAGAUAGGGACAACAUUUGGAAACGAAUGCUAAUACCUGAUACUGUGAGAGUGCUUUGCGUCCCAUUAGCUAGUUGGAGAGGUAACGGCUCACCAAGGCGAUGAUGGGUAGCCGGCCUGAGAGGGUGAUCGGCCACAAGGGGACUGAGACACAGCCCUUACUCAUACGGGAGGCAGCAGUGGGGAAUAUUGGACAAGGGACCAAAGUCUGAUCCAGAAAUUCGGUGUGAACGAUAAAGUUUUCGGAAUGUAAAGUGCUUUCAGUUGGGAAGCGGUACCAACAGAAGAAGUGACGGCUAAAUACGUGCCAGCAGCCGCGGUAAUUC